rnacentral:rRNA from 1 species
UACGAAGGGGGCUAGCGUUGUUCGGAAUUACUGGGCGUAAAGCGCGCGCAGGCGGUCUUCCAAGUCAGUGGUGAAAGCCCGGAGCUCAACUCCGGAACUGCCAUUGAAACUGUGAGACUUGAGGAUGGGAGAGGUGAGUGGAAUUCCCAGUGUAGAGGUGAAAAUUCGUAGAUAUUGGGAAGAACACCGGUGGCGAAGGCGGCUCACUGGCUCAUUUCUGACGCUCAGGCGCGACAGCGUGGGGAUCAAACAGG